rnacentral:rRNA from 1 species
CGCGGCCUAUCAGCUUGUUGGUGAGGUAAUGGCUCACCAAGGCGACGACGGGUAGCCGGCCUGAGAGGGUGACCGGCCACACUGGGACUGAGACACGGCCCAGACUCCUACGGGAGGCAGCAGUGGGGAAUAUUGCACAAUGGGCGAAAGCCUGAUGCAGCGACGCCGCGUGAGGGAUGGCGGCCUUCGGGUUGUAAACCUCUUUCAGUAGGGAAGAAGCCCCUUUUUGGGGUGACGGUACUUGCAGAAGAAGCGCCGGCUAACUACGUGCCAGCAGCCGCGGUAAUACGUAGGGCGCAAGCGUUAUCCGGAAUUAUUGGGCGUAAAGAGCUCGUAGGCGGUUUGUCGCGUCUGCCGUGAAAGUCCGAGGCUCAACCUCGGAUCUGCGGUGGGUACGGGCAGACUAGAGUGAUGUAGGGGAGACUGGAAUUCCUGGUGUAGCGGUGAAAUGCGCAGAUAUCAGGAGGAACACCGAUGGCGAAGGCAGGUCUCUGGGCAUUUACUGACGCUGAGGAGCGAAAGCAUGGGGAGCGAACAGGAUUAGAUACCCUGGUAGUCCAUGCCGUAAACGUUGGGCACUAGGUGUGGGGGACAUUCCACGUUUUCCGCGCCGUAGCUAACGCAUUAAGUGCCCCGCCUGGGGAGUACGG